GUUUAAAUAAUUUAAUAUAAAAUAUUGGUCUUGUAAAUCAAAAAUAAGGUAUAAUCUUUUUAAACU
rnacentral:tRNA from 1 species